UGGGGAAUCUUCCGCAAUGGACGAAAGUCUGACGGAGCAACGCCGCGUGAGUGAUGACGGCCUUCGGGUUGUAAAGCUCUGUUAAUCGGGACGAAUGGUUCUUGUGCGAAUAGUGCGAGGAUUUGACGGUACCGGAAUAGAAAGCCACGGCUAACUACGUGCCAGCAGCCGCGGUAAUACGUAGGUGGCAAGCGUUGUCCGGAAUUAUUGGGCGUAAAGCGCGCGCAGGCGGAUUGGUCAGUCUGUCUUAAAAGUUCGGGGCUUAACCCCGUGAUGGGAUGGAAACGGCCAAUCUAGAGUAUCGGAGAGGAAAGUGGAAUUCCUAGUGUAGCGGUGAAAUGCGUAGAUAUUAGGAAGAACACCAGUGGCGAAGGCGACUUUCUGGACGAAAACUGACGCUGAGGCGCGAAAGCCAGGGGAGCGAACGGG
rnacentral:rRNA from 1 species